rnacentral:rRNA from 1 species
UACGAAGGGUGCAAGCGUUACUCGGAAUUACUGGGCGUAAAGGGUGCGUAGGCGGUUCGUUAAGUCUGUCGUGAAAUCCCCGGGCUCAACCUGGGAAUGGCGAUGGAUACUGGCGAGCUAGAGUGUGUCAGAGGAUGGUGGAAUUCCCGGUGUAGCGGUGAAAUGCGUAGAGAUCGGGAGGAACAUCAGUGGCGAAGGCGGCCAUCUGGGACAAAACUGACGCUGAAGCACGAAGGCGUGGGGAGCAAACAGG